rnacentral:rRNA from 1 species
CUACGGGAGGCAGCAGUGAGGAAUCUUGCGCAAUGGGGGAAACCCUGACGCAGCGACGCCGCGUGGAGGAAGAAGGCCUUCGGGUUGUAAACUCCUUACGUGGGGGACGAAAAAUGACGGUACCCCAGGAAGAAGCCACGGCUAACUCUGUGCCAGCAGCCGCGGUAAUACGG